UCGACAUUCGCUUCAUCUCCAAGUUGAUUGCUUCCCCUUUGGAUGGUAAUUCUUGAAAGUAUGGGGUUCCUCGUAAUUCAUAAACCCAUCCCUCUAUUAUUUUCUUUCACAUUAGUCCCAUCGCAAACGUACACUUUUAUUAUUUCCAAGGCCAGAAUUCAUAUUUAAAUGAUCUUAUAAUCGAUACAGAAAAACUAAUAGUUCACCAUAACAUAUGUCUAAGAUAUAUAUGGUACCUACAUUUUCUUAUAACUAAAUAAGAUGUGAAACUUUUCAUGGAAGCCAACUAUAUGUGCUACCUCUUUUCAAAAUGUAAAUAACUUCUUAACUAUAAAAAAAUGAAAUACAACCAAGCAUGAUGAAACAUUCGCCUCUGCCUCCAAAUUUUUUUGAAAACAUUUAUAUAUAUAUAGUCUUCCAAAUUUGUAAAAAAAAAAAUUAGGCUCCAAACUUUUGAAAUCUUUACUAAAUAGUUUAGUAAUGGAUGUAUUGAGUAAUGGAGUAUGAGCUGAUAACAAAUAAAAGUAUCCUUUAAAAGGGAAAAUUUAUUUCCGUAACUUUUUUAACUUUAAUCUCAACGUAGCCGAAAUCACCUGGUCCUUAAAAUAAUGAAAAGAUGUAUUACAUUAACCGAACGUGAUACAAAAAAACAUAUGAUCAACUGGCUCUCCUUUUUUCAUAACAUUAAGCAAUUCAUCUUUAAAAUUUGGUUGGUUUCCGGAAAGUAAUUGAACAAAAAGAAGACAAAGGAGGUAUGGGAAAGGGAGAUAAAGACACAUUUCACUUAAAGUUAAAGCACAUUGUUGCAGACAAAAAGAGAGGGUUUAAAAUAAAAGACAAAAAUAUGAAAAAAAUAAACGAGAAAUUGAAAAGAAAAAGAGGAAAACUAAUCAAGGCAUAGAGAGAGACCUGCUCGUAUCAUAUCAAAGUCCACUGUUCAUGAAAGAAAGAUUACCUGAAUGAAAAUGCCUUCACUGACAAUUUACAUAUGUUAUGUGGUCCUUUUGUUGUUGUUGUCAAAGCAAGCACACACUACUAUGAAAAUGUGUAGUUACUACUAAGUUGACCAAAAAUCCUCCACUUGAUGAAAUUGAUAUCAAUCAUCCAAUCGAUCAUAUAAAAAAAUUAAAGUGUGAUAGAUUUGUUAGGUUUCUCGUUAUGAUGUUUAGAUCAAAA
rnacentral:lncRNA from 1 species